rnacentral:rRNA from 1 species
CACCAGGCGCGAAAACUUUACAAUGCUGGAAACAGCGAUAAGGGGACCUCGAGUGCCAGGUUACAAAUCUGGCUGUCGUGAUGCCUAAAAAGCAUUGCAUAGCAAGGGCCGGGCAAGACCGGUGCCAGCCGCCGCGGUAACACCGGCGGCUCGAGUGGUAACCGUUAUUAUUGGGUCUAAAGGGUCUGUAGCCGGCCGGAUAAGUCUCUUGGGAAAUCCAGCAGCUCAACUGUUGGGCUUUCAGGAGAUACUGUCUGGCUCGAGGCCGGGAGAGGUGAGAGGUACUUCAGGGGUAGGGGUGAAAUCUUGUAAUCCUUGAAGGACCACCAGUCGCGAAGGCGUCUCACCAGAACGGACCUGACGGCAAGGGACGAAAGCUAGGGGCACGAACCGGAUUAGAUACCCGGGUAGUCCUAGCCGUAAACGAUACUCGCUAGGUGUCGGCCACGGUGCGACCGUUGUCGGUGCCGUAGGGAAGCCGUGAAGCGAGCCACCUGGGAAGUACGGCCGCAAGGCUGAAACUUAAAGGAAUUGGCGGGGGAGCAC